rnacentral:rRNA from 1 species
UACCUGCAGCCCGAGUGGUGGCCGUUAUUAUUGGGCCUAAAACGUCCGUAGCCUGUUUGGUAGAUGCCUGUGUAAAUCGAACGGCUUAACCGUUCGAACUGCGGGUAGACCGCCAGACUUGGGACCGGGAGAGUCACGAAGUACUCCGGGGGUAGAGGUGAAAUGCGCAGAUAUCAGGAAGAACACCCGUGGCGAAGGCGGCUCUCUGGGACGGUACUGACGCUGAGACGCGAAAGCGUGGGGAGCGAACAGG